rnacentral:rRNA from 1 species
GCCAGCAGCCGCGGUAAUACGGAGGAUGCAAGCGUUAUCCGGAUUUAUUGGGUUUAAAGGGUGCGUAGGCGGACUAUUAAGUCAGUGGUGAAAUCCUGCAGCUCAACUGUAGAACUGCCGUUGACACUGAUAGUCUUGAGUUUGGUUAAGGUAGGCGGAAUGUGUAAUGUAGCGGUGAAAUGCUUAGAUAUUACACAGAACACCGAUUGCGUAGGCAGCUUACUGAGCCGACACUGACGCUGAGGCACGAAAGCGUGGGGAUCGAACAGGAUUAGAUACCCUGGUAGUCCACGCCGUAAACGAUGAUUACUCGCUGUUGGCGAUACACUGUCAGCGGCUAGGCAAAAGCAAUAAGUAAUCCACCUGGGGAGUACGGCCCGCAGGCUGAAACUCAAAGGAAUUGACGAGGGCC